ensembl:lncRNA
UUUCUCACUCUUCCUGGGACUGAGAAGUCCAAGAUCAAGGAGCCGACAGAUUCAGAGUCAGGUAGGAGCUGGGUCUCCACUUCACACAAGGAGCCUACGGAUUCAGUGUCAGGUCGGGGCUGGGUCUCCACUUCACACAAACAGCCGACAGAUUCAGAGUCAGGUAGGAGCUGGGUCUCCACUUCACACAAGGAGCCAACGGAUUCAGAGUCAGGUAGGAGCUGGGUCUCCACUUCACACAAGGAGCCGACGGAUUCAGAGUCAGGUAGGGGCUGGGUCUCCACUUCACACAAGGAGCGGACGGAUUCAGAGUCAGGUAGGGGCUGGGUCUCCACUUCACACAAGGAGCGGACGGAUUCAGAGUCAGGUAGGGGCUGGGUCUCCACUUCACACAAGGAGCGGACGGAUUCAGAGUCAGGUAGGGGCUGGGUCUCCACUUCACACAAGGAGCCGACGGAUUCAGAGUCAGGUAGGGGCUGGGUCUCCACUUCACACAAGGAGCCGACGGAUUCAGUGUCAGGUUGGGGCUGGGUCUCCACUUCACACAAGGAGCCGACGGAUUCAGUGUCAGGUCGGGGCUGGGUCUCCACUUCACACAAGGAGCCGACGGAUUCAGAGUCAGGUCGGGGCUGGGUCUCCACUUCACACAAGGAGCCGACGGAUUCAGAGUCAGGUAGGGGCUGGGUCUCCACUUCACACAAGGAGCCGACGGAUUCAGAGUCAGGUCGGGGCUGGGUCUCCACUUCACACAAGGAGCCGACGGAUUCAGAGUCAGGUAGGGGCUGGGUCUCCACUUCACACAAGGAGCCGACGGAUUCAGAGUCAGGUCGGGGCUGGGUCUCCACUUCACACAAGGAGCCGACGGAUUCAGUGUCAGGUCGGGGCUGGGUCUCCACUUCACACAAGGAGCCGACGGAUUCAGAGUCAGGUAGGGCUGGGUCUCCACUUCACACAAGGAGCCGACGGAUUCAGUGUCAGGCAGGGGCUGGGUCUCCACUUCACACAAGGAGCCGACGGAUUCAGUGUCAGGUCGGGGCUGGGUCUCCACUUCACACAAGGAGCCGACGGAUUCAGAGUCAGGUAGGGCUGGGUCUCCACUUCACACAAGGAGCCGACGGAUUCAGAGUCAGGUAG